UACGUAGGGGCCUAGCGUUGUCCGGAUUUAUUGGGCGUAAAGAGCUCGUAGGCGGUCUGUCGCGUCUGCUGUGAAAACUCGGGGCUUAACCCCGGGCCUGCAGUGGGUACGGGCAGACUAGAGUGCGGUAGGGGAGACUGGAAUUCCUGGUGUAGCGGUGAAAUGCGCAGAUAUCAGGAGGAACACCGGUGGCGAAGGCGGGUCUCUGGGCCGUAACUGACGCUGAGGAGCGAAAGCAUGGGGAGCGAACAGG
rnacentral:rRNA from 1 species